GACGAACGCUGGCGGCGUGCUUAACACAUGCAAGUCGAACGGAAAGGCCCUGCUUUUGUGGGGUGCUCGAGUGGCGAACGGGUGAGUAACACGUGUGUAACCUGCCCUUGACUUUGGGAUAACUUCAGGAAACUGGGGCUAAUACCGGAUAGGAUCUCCUGCUGCAUGGUGGGGGUUGGAAAGUUUCGGCGGUUGGGGAUGGACUCGCGGCUUAUCAGCUUGUUGGUGGGGUAGUUGCUUACCAAGGCUUUGACGGGUAGCCGGCCUGAGAGGGUGACCGGCGACAAUGGGACUGAGAUACGGCACAGACUCGUACGGGAGGCAGAAGUGGGGAAUAUUGCACAAUGGGAGGAAGCGUGAUGAAGAAACGCCGCGUGCGGGAUGACGGCCUUCGGGUUGUAAACCGCUUUCGCAUGUGACGAAGCGUGAGUGACGGUAAUGGGUAAAGAAGCACCGGCUAACUACGUG
rnacentral:rRNA from 1 species